GUAAGCGUGCGCAGGCGGUUAUGUAAGACAGAUGUGAAAUCCCGGGCUCAACCUGGGAACUGCAUUUGUGACUGCAUGGCUAGAGUACGGUAGAGGGGGAUGGAAUUCCGCGUGUAGCAGUGAAAUGCGUAGAUAUGCGGAGGAACACCGAUGGCGAAGGCAAUCCCCUGGACCUGUACUGACGCUCAUGCACGAAAGCGUGGGGAGCAAACAGGAUUAGAUACCCUAGU
rnacentral:rRNA from 1 species